rnacentral:misc_RNA from 1 species
AACCCUGACAAUCGCAUGACCUCGUGCGUCCAUGUCGUGCAUCCGCUAACUCGGCGUUACUCCUCCGAUAACAACAACAGUAACGAGUGACAUUAAUAACUGUUCGGCUAUUCCUGACCAAAACGCUGAGACUGUAAUGCACUAGCGGGUCGGGCGUACUGAGCCCCUUCAUCCCUUCCUAACAUAGCAUGGCCCGGGCGUACGUGGCCCCUUCAACCAGCUUACUAACCGAUAAGAAUACAACAGAACGACUGAAAAGAAAUUAAAAUACCGAUGUACCCACUAAUAAAAGAAAAUAAAACGAUGAUCGAUGUACCCACUAAUCACCACCAAAUAUUGCAACUAACUUGCACAAUCGCUAAAAACAGAUGUAUCGUCAGGAGGUGGGCCUAUAACUUCAGCUAUUUUCUGAAA